rnacentral:rRNA from 1 species
AGCGUUGCUCGGAAUCACUGGGCGUAAAGCGCACGUAGGCGGGUCGUUAAGUCAGGGGUGAAAUCCUGGAGCUCAACUCCAGAACUGCCUUUGAUACUGGCGAUCUCGAGUUCGGGAGAGGUGAGUGGAACUGCGAGUGUAG